rnacentral:rRNA from 1 species
CCUACGGGAGGCUGCAGUGGGGAAUAUUGCACAAUGGGGGGAACCCUGAUGCAGCAAUGCCGCGUGAAGGAUGAAGGUUUUCGGAUUGUAAACUUCUUUUGUACGGGACGAAGAAAGUGACGGUACCGUAAGAAUAAGCCACGGCUAACUACGUGCCAGCAGCCGCGGUAAUACGUAGGUGGCAAGCGUUAUCCGGAUUUACUGGGUGUAAAGGGCGAGUAGGCGGGAUUGCAAGUCAGACGUGAAAUUCCAGGGCUCAACCCUGGAACUGCGUUUGAAACUGUUCUUCUUGAGUGAUGGAGAGGCAGGCGGAAUUCCGUGUGUAGCGGUGAAAUGCGUAGAUAUACGGAGGAACACCAGUGGCGAAGGCGGCCUGCUGGACAUUAACUGACGCUGAGGCGCGAAAGCGUGGGGAGCAAACAGGAUUAGAUACCCCUGUAGUC